rnacentral:rRNA from 1 species
GACGAACGCUGGCGGCGUGCUUAACACAUGCAAGUCGACAUGAGUGGCGAACGGGUGAGUAAUAAGUGGGUAACCUGCCCUCCUUUUUGGGAUAAGCCUUGGAAACGGGGUCUAAUACAGAAUAAAGGGGGAUGGGCUCGCGGCCUAUAAGCUUGUUGGUGGGGUGAUGGCCUACCAAGGCGGUGACGGUUAGCCGGCCUGAGAGGAUAACCGGCCACAUUGGUGCUAAGAUACGGCCCAGGCUCCUACGGGAGGCAGCAGUGGGGAUAUUGCACAAUGCUGAAAAGCCUAAUUCAGCGACGCCGCGUGGGUGAUGAAGGCGUUCGGGUUGUUAACCUCUUUCGCUAUCGAGCUGGUAGCUGGAGAGGAAGCGCCGGCUAACUACGUGCCAGCAGCCGCGGUAUUAC